GUAGUCCACGCUGUAAACGAUGGGCACUAGGUGUGGGAGGUGUCGACUCCUCCCGUGCCGUAGCUAACGCAUUAAGUGCCCCGCCUGGGGAGUACGGCCGCAAGGCUAAAACUCAAAGGAAUUGACGGGGACCCGCACAAGCAGCGGAGCAUGUGGUUCAAUUCGACGCAACGCGAAGAACCUUACCUGGGCUUGACAUGUUGGUGACAGCCGUGGAAACACGGUCUCCCUUCGGGGCACCUUCACAGGUGGUGCAUGGCUGUCGUCAGCUCGUGCCGUGAGGUGUUGGGUUAAGUCCCGCAACGAGCGCAACCCCCGUCUCAUGUUGCCAGCGGGUAAAGCCGGGGACUCAUGAGAGACUGCCGGUGACAAACCGGA
rnacentral:rRNA from 1 species